CAAAACGUAGCUUAAACAAAGCAUCUGACUUACACUCAGAAGAUUCUCAAUAUUAUGAGACAUUUUGA
rnacentral:tRNA from 1 species